ensembl:ncRNA K10D6.16 ncRNA
CAACAUCUUUUGGAAAAGCAACUAAACUUUUCAACUUAAAUUAGACAGACACCUUCUGUCUUGGGUGACUCAAAAUAUGUCGUAGUUUGAUCUGUUUUCCUAGACAACGUCUAGAAGCAAUAUGCUCUUAGAUCUUAAGUGAUAUCUAGAUACAGGAAGUUUGAAAUUUGUGCUAUUUUUUGAAUAUGCUGUUCUGCCA